rnacentral:snRNA from 1 species
AAAAAAAAAAAGGAACGAUACAGAGAAGAUUAGCAUGGUCCCUGCACAAGGAUGACACGCAAAUUCAUGAAGCGUUCUAUAUAAAA